rnacentral:rRNA from 1 species
CGCCGCCACGGUAAUACGAAGGGUGCAAGCGUUACUCGGAAUUACUGGGCGUAAAGCGUGCGUAGGUGGUGGUUUAAGUCCGUUGUAAAAGCCCUGGGCUCAACCUGGGAAUUGCAGUGGAUACUGGGUCACUAGAGUGUGGUAGAGGAUAGUGGAAUUUCCGGUGUAGCAGUGAAAUGCGUAGAGAUCGGAAGGAACAUCUGUGGCGAAGGCGACUAUCUGGGCCAACACUGACACUGAGGCACGAAAGCGUGGGGAGCAAACAGGAUUAGAUACCCCUGUAGUCCCUGUCUCUUAUACA